GUGGGGAAUAUUGGGCAAUGGGCGCAAGCCUGACCCAGCAACGCCGCGUGAAGGAAGAAGGCUUUCGGGUUGUAAACUUCUUUUGUCAGGGACGAAGCAAGUGACGGUACCUGACGAAUAAGCCACGGCUAACUACGUGCCAGCAGCCGCGGUAAUACGUAGGUGGCAAGCGUUAUCCGGAUUUACUGGGUGUAAAGGGCGUGUAGGCGGGAAAGCAAGUCAGAUGUGAAAACUGCGGGCUCAACCCAUAGCUUGCAUUUGAAACUGUUUUUCUUGAGUACUGGAGAGGCAGAUGGAAUUCCUAGUGUAGCGGUGAAAUGCGUAGAUAUUAGGAGGAACACCAGUGGCGAAGGCGAUCUGCUGGACAGCAACUGACGCUGAGGCGCGAAAGCGUGGGGAGCAAACAGGAUUAGAUACCCUGGUAGUCC
rnacentral:rRNA from 1 species